AGGGUAAAGAGGGCUCCGCGCAUGCAGGAAGACCACCCUAAGGGAAGAAUCAUGGGAAAGAGAUGUCACAUGAAAGUCUGUAAAUAUGAACCACACUCUACUGCCCAGUGAUGGAGAAACCUACUGACUGUGGUGCGCAGAUUCCUAAGACGCCCUCAUGGUAUCCAUGUCCGCAUCAUCUCCUCCCCCUUGAGAGUGGGCUGAACCUGUGACUGGCCUCUAACCAACAGGCUAUCGUGAAGAUCAUACGCACUGCACUGGUUACAUGGAUUACAGCUGCAGACUUCUAACACAAAAUCCACACACAAGUACACGGACCCAGGUGGAGGCCUCAGCCCCUUAUUUCCUGCUUCUCUCCACUGUCUUAUUUUCAAGCUGCUACUGGUGCACCAUGAGAACCUGAUUUAAUACUAAGUGUCCAUACCAAAGUUCAAUGUCUGUCCCUACAGCAUAAUAUAACAUCGGUUAUCUCAAACAAUUGAUCUGGCUUAGUUCCUGGCCCAGGUGCAUAUUAGUUUUUGGAAGAAACUGAAUACAUAUUGUAAAAGUGUAUUAGCUCUUUCAAGCCAAAGGGGAGUGAUUAAAUAGAUGACUUCUCCAGGGGUGGAGGCCUUCAAGUGGGGCGAGAUGAGGAGGCAGAGAAUCCUAAGCACUCUGUUUCAUUUUCUUGUGAGCAAAAAACAUGAGACAGUGUCCUUUGUUUUUGA
rnacentral:lncRNA from 1 species